rnacentral:rRNA from 1 species
GGGAACAAGGAGCUGGUAUCAGGCACACUCAAUUUCAGCCCACGACACCUUGCUUAGCCACACCCUCAAGGGUAUUCAGCAGUGAUAGACCUUAAGCCAUAAGUGAAAACUUGACUUAGUCAAAGCUAAGAGGGCCGGUAAAACUCGUGCCAGCCACCGCGGUUAUACGAGAGACCCAAGUUGAUAGACCCGGCGUAAAGAGUGGUUAAGGAAAAACUAAAACUAAAGCCGAACAUCUUCAAUACUGUUAUACGCACCCGAAGAUAAGAAGUCCAACUACGAAAGUGGCUUUAUACCCACCCCGAACCCACGAAAGCUAUGACACAA